rnacentral:rRNA from 1 species
GACAGAGGGUGCUAGCGUUGUUCGGAAUUACUGGGCGUAAAGGGCGCGUAGGCGGUCUGUUAAGUUCGGUGUGAAAUCCCCUGGCUCAACUGGGGAACUGCGCUGGAAACUGGCAGACUCGAGUACCGGAGAGGAGAGUGGAAUUCCUGGUGUAGCGGUGAAAUGCGCAGAUAUCAGGAAGAACACCCGUGGCGAAGGCGGCUCUCUGGGACGGUACUGACGCUGAGACGCGAAAGCGUGGGGAGCGAACAGG